rnacentral:rRNA from 1 species
AACACAUGCAAGUCGAGCGAGACCUUCGGGUCUAGCGGCGGACGGGUUAGUAACGCGUGGGAAUAUACCCUUCACUACGGAAUAGCCUCGGGAAACUGGGAGUAAUACCGUAUACGCCCUUUGGGGGAAAGAUUUAUCGGUGAAGGAUUAGCCCGCGUCUGAUUAGAUAGUUGGUGGGGUAAUGGCCUACCAAGUCUACGAUCAGUAGCUGGUUUGAGAGGAUGAUCAGCAACACUGGGACUGAGACACGGCCCAGACUCCUACGGGAGGCAGCAGUGGGGAAUCUUAGACAAUGGGCGCAAGCCUGAUCUAGCCAUGCCGCGUGAGUGACGAAGGCCUUAGGGUCGUAAAGCUCUUUCGCCAGAGAUGAUAAUGACAGUAUCUGGUAAAGAAACCCCGGCUAACUCCGUGCCAGCAGCCGCGGUAAUACGGAGGGGGUUAGCGUUGUUCGGAAUUACUGGGCGUAAAGCGCACGUAGGCGGAUUGGAAAGUAUGGGGUGAAAUCCCAGGGCUCAACCCUGGAACGGCCUUGUAAACUCCCAGUCUAGAGUUCGAGAGAGGUGAGUGGAAUUCCAAGUGUAGAGGUGAAAUUCGUAGAUAUUUGGAGGAACACCAGUGGCGAAGGCGGCUCACUGGCUCGAUACUGACGCUGAGGUGCGAAAGUGUGGGGAGCAAACAGGAUUAGAUACCCUGGUAGUCCACACCGUAAACGAUGAAUGCCAGACGUCGGGGGGCUUGCCCUUCGGUGUCACACCUAACGGAUUAAGCAUCC